AUGGUAGUUUCUUUUGCUGGGCUGCACCAUUUUAUUUCUAAUGGAGCAAUGGUAAAUGUACUCAACUUAGAGCCAAAUCCAAAUUACCUAUAUGUCAAUUGCCUACCUGAUGGCUGUGAACAACAGAAAGAAGAAACAAAGACAUACCUGUAUGUAAAGGUUGAGCUUGAAAAAAGAAAACUACUCUUGACGCUGAAAAAUGCAAUCCAACAUGAAAGAAUGCUUAUUUCAGGUUUUACCUGAAUCUACCUAGGGCUGAAUUUCUUAUCUAUACUUUACUACAGAUAUUCUGCUUUGUGCAGAUCUACAAUGGAUCAUUAAAGUCAAAGAAUAAUUAUUUGUCUUUCUACUCCUCCCAGUACCCAAGACCUGAGAGUGAGAUAUUAAAUUCGUCCUUAGAUCUUUCAUGCAAUGUUACAGCUCUUUGGAACUCCUCAUGAAGCUCCUCCUCUCCAUGGUGGAAUUUUACUCUGAGGAGAGAGAGGCUAAAAUGUUUCAGUCCCCUAUAUGAUAAGUCCAAAAUCACUGUUUCACAUAUAUGCUGACCUGAUACAUUGAGCCAUUGAUACAUGUCUUUCC
rnacentral:lncRNA from 1 species